GACAAUUCAGGUAUGCACAACAGUGUUGAGAUGACAUUUAACUACUGCCACGUCACCGUCUUCUUCAACCUUCAGCCCACCGAACCCUAACGCCACCGCCGCCACAGAGAUCGUCCAAAGUCAUUAUGUCGUCGUGAAGUCGCACCUGCGGAGAACCAUGGCAGCCAUCAUGCCCAACCUCCAUGACCACCACCAUCAAAGUCCCAAUCUCCCCCAAAUUACGAAACCCUAAUCUCAAACUCCAUUUGAAUCUUCAUUCUCGUGCAUCAGCCAUGAAUCAUCCAAAUCGAGAGAUUCAUCGUCAGUGUGACAAUCCUUGCCACCAUUGUGCAAAGCUCCA
rnacentral:lncRNA from 1 species